rnacentral:rRNA from 1 species
GAUGAACGCUGGCGGCGUGCUUAACACAUGCAAGUCGAACGGUGAAGGCGGAGCUUGCUCUGCUGGAUCAGUGGCGAACGGGUGAGUAACACGUGAGCAAUCUGCCCCUGACUCUGGGAUAAGCGCUGGAAACGGCGUCUAAUACUGGAUACGAGCUGCGAAGGCAUCUUCAGCAGCUGGAAAGAACUUCGGUCAGGGAUGAGCUCGCGGCCUAUCAGCUUGUUGGUGAGGUAACGGCUCACCAAGGCGUCGACGGGUAGCCGGCCUGAGAGGGUGACCGGCCACACUGGGACUGAGACACGGCCCAGACUCCUACGGGAGGCAGCAGUGGGGAAUAUUGCACAAUGGGCGAAAGCCUGAUGCAGCAACGCCGCGUGAGGGACGACGGCCUUCGGGUUGUAAACCUCUUUUAGCAGGGAAGAAGCGAAAGUGACGGUACCUGCAGAAAAAACGCCGGCGAACUACGU